GAAUAAAAUAUUUACUGCCAUUUCCCUUCUAGCCUAUUCUGUUUUUUGAAAAGACACAUGGAAACAGCUUCUCUAAUACAAAUGUAUUUGCUUUAGGUUUUCCCUCCCCCUCAUCCUUUCUACCAAAAGAACUGGAGAGCUGUGGUCAAUGGCAUCACUGAAGGACGCACAGGCUGAGAGACAGUUAACUGAACACAGCGAGUGGAAAACUCCAGCCUGGAUUACCAAGCGCUUGCAAAGCAAAGCUUCUUUACGUUGUUAAUGCUGAUUUGGAUCAUAAACAAAAGUGAGUGUGACAAGUCCUCCAAGAAGAACUUCUGGAUCAUGGUGAGCUGGUGUCAUCUGGGAGCUGUGACUCCUGCAGGCUCCAGGGGUGACCAGCCGUUCAGCUGCAAGAGAACAUGUCAGAAUCCAGCAGAGACACCCAGGAAUGUAAGAUUUAAAGGAAAAGAAAAACAAACCCAAACAAGACAAGUCUUCAUGUGGUCCUGGCUCGGCUUUUAUUCACAACAAUGGAGGUGCAAGUGA
rnacentral:lncRNA from 1 species